rnacentral:rRNA from 1 species
UGACUCAAUUGAAACUGGCGCGGACCAAGGGAAUCCGACUGUCUACUAAAAACACAGCAUUGCGAUGGUCCCCGCGGAUGUUGACGCAAUGUGAAUCCUGCCCAGUGCUCAGACUGUCAAGACGGAGAGAUUCGACGAAG